rnacentral:lncRNA from 1 species
GGGGACUCACGUAGUAAUAAGGAGGUGGGGGAGACGGUGAUGGUGGUGGAGGAGAUUUGUAGUAGUAGGGAGUAGGAGGAUCGGGAGAUGGUGGAGGAGGGCUCUUGUAGUAGUAAGGAGGUGGUGGAGAAGGUGAUGGAGGAGGAGGUGACUUGUAGUAGUAGGGUGGUGGUGGUGAUGGAGAUGGUGGUGGUGGUGACUUGUAAUAGUAAGGAGGUGGCGGUGAAGGAUCCGGUGGUGGAGGUGAUUUGUAGUAGUAGGGAGGUGGUGGUGAUGGGGAUGGUGGUGGAGGUGAUUUGUAGUAGUAUGGUGGUGGUGGUGAGGGGGAUGGUGGAGGAGGUGACUUGUAGUAGUAGGGAGGUGGUGGUGAUGGAUCUGGUGGAGGAGGUGACUUGUAGUAGUAGGGAGGUGGUGGUGAUGGAGAUGGUGGUGGAGGAGACUUGUAGUAGUAGGGUGGUGGUGGUGAGGGGGAUGGAGGAGGAGGAGACUUGUAGUAGUAGGGAGGUGGUGGUGAAGGAUCUGGUGGUGGAGGAGACUUGUAGUAGUAGGGUGGUGGUGGUGAGGGGGAUGGUGGAGGAGGAGACUUGUAGUAGUAGGGAGGAGGUGGUGAUGGAUCUGGUGGAGGAGGUGAUUUGUAGUAAUAGGGUGGUGGUGGUGAAGGGGAAGGUGGUGGUGGGGACUUGUAGUAGUAGGGAGGUGGUGGUGAGGGAGAUGGUGGUGGAGGUGAUUUGUAGUAGUAUGGUGGUGGUGGAGAAGGUGAUGGAGGAGGAGGUGACUUGUAGUAGUAGGGAGGUGGUGGUGAUGGAUCUGGUGGUGGAGGUGAUUUGUAGUAGUAAGGUGGUGGUGGUGAUGGAGAUGGUGGUGGAGGAGACUUGUAGUAGUAGGGUGGUGGAGGUGAUGGGGAGGGUGGAGGAGGUGAUUUGUAGUAGUAAGGAGGAUAAUAAGGAUCCUUGUGUGGAGGAGGUGGAGAUUUAUAGUAGUAUGGAGAAGGAGAUGGUGAUGGUGGAGGGGGGCUCUUGUAGUAGUAAGGAGGGGACUUAUAGUAGUAUGGUGGUGGGGGAGAGUUGUAGUAGUAUGGUUUGUGAUAAGGAGUGGGUGAAUGCUUGUGCUUUUCACAAUCAUAAGGCUUUUUAGGAGCAUAAGCAAAAGGCUUAGCCUUCAGAACAACCUCGUACUUAUCCUUGGACUUCAGUGCCAACUUGGUUCCCUCGUUAAGCUUGGUGGGUAUGCUGCAACGUGAGCCCUUAGGAGGAGCAUGGAGUUGAGCCUUGCAGACUGUGCCUCCAUAUUUAACAUAGUCCAAUCCUUCGACAGUGAUGCUGUAUUUCCCAUUGCUCUUAGUGUUACCGUAAGACUUUAUGGUCUUGCCUCCAACUUCACAAGUCACUUCGACAGUGGCACCUAAGGUACAAAAUGCGUGAAUUUCACAUGUUAAAAGACAAAUCAAUCGAACACAUAACACUAGGUAACAUUUUUUUUGUUAAUUUUAAGGAACUUUUUUGUUUUGUGAACACAAAACGAGACAAUGUUCUGCAGACACAUGAUGACGCACAACGAUAUCGAUGGAGUUGUAGGAAUAGAAAAAUUAGGUUGACCAAGAAAAUGUUAAGAAAACAAAAAUGCAGUUAAAUAUUAUCAAACAAUGACACGUUUGAACGGAAAAUAAUGAUAAAUAUUGUUGCUGUCGAAGCAUCAGCAUCAGAAGGAAAUAAUAAUAAUAAUGAAAUAUAAAAGUAAAGUUUGCACCUUCGAGGUGUUUCUUGUUGUGAGAUUUCUGGGGGUAUUUCCAGUCGUAGCAUCUGUAACAGUAGACUUUACCGACAACCUUAACGAUCAAUGAGUGGUGAUAGUGGUGAGGGUGAGGAUAAGCGACCGGAGGAGGUGGAGAUUUGUAGUAGUAUGGUGGAGACUUGUAGUAGUAUGGUGGAGGAGGUGAGGGAGAAGGAGGAGGAGGAGAUUUGUAGUAGUAGGGUGGUGGUGGGGACUUGUAGUAGUAAGGAUCAUGGGGUGGUGACUUUUCAGGUGGGGGAGGAGACUUGUAGUAGUAUGGGGGUGGUGGUGAUGGUGAAGGUGGUGGUGGGGACUUGUAGUAGUAAGGAUCAUAGGGAGGUGACUUUUUAGGCGGGGGAGGAGACUUGUAGUAGUAAGGUGGUGGAGGUGAGGGAGAGGGUGGUGGGGGAGAUUUAUAGUAGUAGGGUGGUGGUGGUGAUGGAGAUGGUGGUGGUGGUGACUUGUAAUAGUAAGGAGGUGGAGGUGAAGGAUCAGGUGGUGGAGGAGACUUGUAGUAGUAAGGUGGUGGUGGUGAUGGGGAUGGUGGUGGAGGUGACUUGUAAUAGUAUGGUGGUGGUGGUGAGGGGGAUGGUGGAGGAGGUGACUUGUAGUAGUAGGGAGGUGGUGGUGAUGGAUCAGGUGGAGGAGGUGACUUGUAGUAGUAGGGUGGUGGUGGUGAUGGGGAUGGUGGUGGAGGAGACUUGUAGUAGUAGGGAGGUGGUGGUGAUGGAUCAGGUGGAGGAGGUGACUUGUAGUAGUAGGGUGGUGGUGGUGAUGGAGAUGGUGGUGGAGGAGACUUGUAGUAGUAUGGUGGUGGUGGUGAUGGAGAAGGUGGAGGAGGAGACUUGUAGUAGUAAGGAGGUGGUGGUGAUGGUGAUGGUGGAGGAGGAGACUUGUAGUAGUAGGGAGGAGGUGGUGAUGGAUCAGGUGGAGGUGGUGAUUUGUAGUAAUAGGGUGGUGGUGGUGAUGGGGAAGGUGGUGGAGGAGAUUUGUAGUAGUAUGGUGGUGGUGGUGAGGGAGAGGGUGGUGGAGGUGAUGAGUAAGAGUAAGCAUCAGCAGCCACAGAUGCUACAUUGAGGGAAACAAGAACAAUGGCCAAUGCAAGGGCCAUUUGAGGCCUAAAACGACCCUUACUAGGGCCGUAGCUAAGGGCAGUCAUGAGUAGAAGGGGUACCCUCCAACCAAUGCUAAGGGUGAGAUAUGAUCCUUGAUGAUUCAGUGAUGAUUAAGAAAGCACCAUGAAAUGCAUAUUUAUAAUGGAAUGUCUCAUACCAAUUCAUUUCUUAUAAUAAUUUCAAUGCUUCAAUGAACCUUCCCCAGCUGGCCUCGUGACUUUUUAACUGCAAUAUCUUAAUCCAAAUUUCUUCUUCUUCUCCAUAUGCCACCAUUCCAACUAACUCAUUUUUAAAAAAUUUGAAACUCCAACAACUCAUUAUUAAAUCACCCUCUUCAUCUACUCUCUACAAAAUAAGCAAAAGGGUCCAAAAUAAUGCUUCUCUAUUAUCAUCAAGUUGCCUCUCUUGACUCAGAAAAUUCAAAAUGCCUUUUUCAUUCACUUUUCUUCUUGUUUUCUAUUGCUUUUGUUGAGAGGGAAGGUAAUAAAGUGAACAGAAAUCAACAUUUUUUUCAAUCAAUUGCUAUGAAUAAUUGUGUAAUGUUUCGUUGUUUCGCCACAUGGAAGCUUUAUUAAGGUGUCCAAAAUAUUUUAACACAAUGUAUAUGUACACUUGAUAAUUGAGUGUCGGCUUUGUAGAAAAAGGGACGCAACGUUUUUCAAAAAUGAAACGUAUAUGCACACGAAAUGGAAGUUAGAAUGUGUAUUCAUCUAAUAAAACAAUACACAAUGUAAUUUUUUAUGCAGAUAUUUUAAUGCAUGUGUUAUGAAAUUAUUAUAGUUCCAGUUGCACUUGCACGGAUUAUUAUUAAGAAAUAUUAUUUGACUAAAACCGAAAACUACCUUGGAUAAUUAAGAGUGUGAAUAUAUUUUUACCCUGUUUUGUUUUGAUUAUAACGGGGAAAGAAGGAGAAUAAUUGUUUUACACAUUAAUUAUCCUGGAUCAUAAAUAAGGGUCACUUUAAGUGAGUUACAAUUCAAAUUUUGCAUAUGUCCCCAUGUGGGUUUAGCUACUAUUGUAGCAUGCAUGUUGUAAUUAAGAACCAUGUUAGUGCCUUUCUUUUGUUCUUAAUUGCAGUCAAUGGCGUGUGAUAUUACGUCUCUAAAUUAAUCGAAUUUGUGAUAAUUGUUGGUGGUGGAAAAAAAAAAUGAUUUGAUGAAUAUAUUUGUGGAGGUGUUAUGUGAGAGAAGAAUGUGAUAGUAGCAGAGACGUGGAUGGGGUGUCUUUCAUAAGUCAUUUUUUAUGCUUAUAAUAUGUUACACAUACAAGAUCUAUUAUAUGAUCAAAUUAGAGAAAGUCAAAGAAAGAGUUUAGCUUUUAGGUAAAUGUAGAAGCUAACUAUGUUAAAGUCAUUCAAUGGACUACUCCAUUUAACUUCUACAUUUCUGCAUAAUUUUCAGGUUUUGAUAACCCUAAACCCUAAAAAGUAAGACAUUGUUGACUUUGAAAUUUAGUGUUUUGUGAUGAUUUUAUUUUUAAAAAAUAUAUCUGUAAAAGUCGAAAGAGAAAAAAAAUAUAUAAAUUAUUAUUUAUCUCAAUUCGAAAAGAAAAAAAAAUAUAAAUUAUUAUUGAUCUAACACUACAAGAAAAUUAUGAAAUAGAAAACAAUUUUUUAGAUACCAAAAUAAUUAGUUGCAAUAGUAACUAAAUUAAAGACAUUUUAGAAACUAAAAAAAAAGUGGUUUCUAUAUUAGUUUCUAUUAUUGUUAAAUAGUUUCUAAAUAGGUAUCUAAUUAGCAACCAAGGUUUUAGAGACCAAAUUUAGAAACUAAAUAAUUGGUAGUUAAAGGUUUGAUUGCUAAUUAGAUACCAAUUUAGAAACUAUUUAACAAUAAUAGAAACUAAUUUAGAAAUCAAUUUUUUAUUUAGUUUCUAAAAUGGUCUCUAAUUUAGUUACUAUUGCAACUAAUUAUUUUAGUCUCUAAAAAUUGAUUUCUAUUUCAUAUUUUUCUUGUAGUGUAGAUUCUAGUCUUGAAGCAUGUAAAACUAUAUUUACAAUACUUAAAACAUUAACCAUUUCAUCCUACAAAUUGUGUACAUUUUAUAUUUGUAAUAUAACUUAUCUACUAAAUAAUAUAAUAUUUUUUAAAGACUUUCAAGUCAUAUUAUAGUAAAGUAGUGCAAUAACUUCAUUAACCAAACUUCUCAAACUUUAUAAUAAUUAUUGCAAAGUCAAUCAUUGUGUUUAAAGAUAUAUUUAUGAUGUUUUGUGUUUGAUAUCCUGAAGUAAAGUGCAUAAAGGAAGAAAUUGUAUAUGCUAUUAGGUGAAUUAUGUUUUCAGAGAAAAAUGAUGUAUGGGUUUUGAAAAUGUCUUUUAUUAUAAUGGUCUUAUAGUCUUUGUAGAUAAUAGAAAGAACUAAUUGAUGCUUAAAAAGGUAAAAAUAGGGAAAAGACAAGAAGCUAAAAGUUGGACAUGGUCAUAAAGAAACACAAUUAUUGAAUUGACUAGAAUAUUUUGUAGAGUGAAAUAAAUGCUAUAACAAAAAAUUUCCAUGAAAAAAGUUAAACAAUUUAAAAUUUGUUAAGGAUAGUUACGUUUUAUCAUCUACAUAAGCGUUGAAUUUCAUUGCUCAUUUCAGAUUUAUGCAUAUUACCUUAUGCCAGACUGGCUGAUUAUUAGUCACCGCUAAGAGUUUGGAAAUUUUAUAAUUUCGUCUAAUUUGGUUAUAAUUUAUGGAAAAUGGUAAAAAUUUAAUAGUUACCUGUAUAAUAAGCUGUUUUUAGAAUCACAAUUACAAAUUUAUUAUAUAUUAAUUAAUUUUAAAUUGAGUGAAAAACAUAAUUAUCCUUUAAUUAAAAAAAAUUAUAUUAUCUAUCAGUCGGUCUGUGUGGCCGAGUUGAAAUCCAGCGUUCGGUCAAGAUCGACGGAGACCAGCACACUUAAGGAGAGGACUAACGACUAAUCAAAUGUAAAAUACAGAUAAAAUCCUUAAUCAGGCUUAAUAACAAAAUUAAGCAAAAAUCUCCAAAUGAUAGGUGUGUCAUCAUCUAGUACUAAACACACUGAGUGCCGAAGUCUAACUUGAGCAUCAUAGUGUCUUUUGCAGAUACCAUCCACAAAAGAGGUAGUGGGAGUUCAUUCGAGAGGAAGGAAGAGCAGACCGGUAUCGAGAAAAAGUUAAACAGUUCUCUUGAGUCGACCAACCGAGAAAAAGUUCAACCCGUUCGAUAAUAUAUUGUGUAAAAAAAACUGUAAUUAUGAAUUAUCUAAUCAUGUGGGAAAAAAAUUAAUAGAUUACGAAUUAAAUUAAUAAUUGAGUGUAGUUUGGGUGCCUAUGUUGAAUUCCCAUGUAGAGAGAUAUGUUCAUAUUUCAACACCACCAAUUAUGCUAAACUCCAUGUGCCCACAUUCAUUUUCUGAUUAAUCACAAAUUAUUGAAGAUCCUCUUCAUUCUAAAUACACCUCCAUCUCCUUUUCACGUUCUCAUUUUCAAAUACAUACUUAAUAAUUUAUUAUCACUCUCUUCAAGUUUCCGUGCACCCAAAGAUUUAACCAUUUGAUUAAUUACAACAAAAUGAAUUAUUAUCAAACAAAUUAAACUAACAAUUUUAGAACAGAUUAGCACAAAAGUGGCUUACACCGAAUGGAAAAAAUCACGCGAAUCACGUAAUUAUAUUGUUUAGGUUUUAAGCUUUAUCUAUAGCAUGCAGCUGAAAAAUCAAAGUCUAAUCUCGUGCCAAUUCAAAUCUUUUGCAUUAUAUAUACCAUUUUUUCAUCGUCAAUCUCUUCAAAAGGCAGCAUGGUGUUAAUUCCUGAACUCUUUGAGCCACAUGAAACUUCGUUCCAAUUACCAAUUUACAUCCAUGCUUCGUCAUCUCAUUUCAAUCUUUUGAACUACCUAUAUCACUCAAAACAUCCAUUUUUGAAUUUAUAAAAGUUGACGUAUCUUAAAUGAUGUAUCCGUGUCGGACACACGUAUUCAACAUUGAUACAUGUACAAUAUCUAUCGGUGAAGUGUUCAAAUUAAAAAAAAAUUGAUUCUCUAAUCAUUCUAACCUGGUUCUAACUCAGUUUUAAAAAGAACAAGUGCGUAAUUUUCUAAAAACUUAAAUUUAUUAUAUAAGUUUUUAUUAUGAUUAUAGAAAUAAGAAAUAAAUUCUUUUAAACGAGUUAUGAGAAACAUUUAUCUGAUACAUAAAAAAAACUCAACCAUACUUAUUCACAUACAUUCUUCAUUGUCAAUUUAUAUAAUUCAUAAUAAUAUAAUACAGAGAUUUGUGUAUCCAUAUUCUAAUUUUAGAGAUUAUAAGUGUUGAAGUAUCCAUAUGUAUAUUGUCUCCGUAUCAAAAUUCAUAAUUCAUGUUAAGUAGUUUCUUUUUUACUUACUUGAUUUGAUAAUUUAAAAUCUUCAUUAGUUCAUAAAUUUUAUAAUUUAAUAUUGUGGAGACAACGAGUUAUUACCAAAUUUUUUAAUCCGUUGUGUUUCUUAGGAAUGAAGAAAAACUACAAAAUAAACGAACAACCGGAAUAAGCAUGUAAUUAAAGGACAAAUAUCCAUUUGGUAUCAUCUUGUGCUUACUAUUUUCUUGCUUGGAUAACAAAUAUGCCAUGUAUACUUUCAAGAAAAAACUUAUGCACCACUCUUUGUCCUUUUGUUACGUUAUUCCUCAUGUUCCAACAUAGCAGUAAAUGAUGACAAACCUCACCAAGUGUCGGGUUAAGUAAUUUUUCUUUUAUAAAAUAAUAAUUAUUUUCUCAAAUGUAUUUUUUUUCUCCAUUUUGACCUAUCAAAACAUGCUAAUAUAUUCUUAUUCUUGUAUAUUUCAGAUCGAGAAUUCAUAAUAUACAAAUAAUCUUAUUUUAAAAUUGAUUUUAUAAGAUUGAAUAAAAUUUAUAAUAUUUUUUUAAUAUAUUAAUUUUAUUUGACUAUGUUCUCGAUCGAGAUCGAGAAAACGAUUAUUUUUCUUCUCGAUCCGAUCGGUUUGUAUCUACCUUUUCUCUUCACUAAACAACUUCACAACUCUUAUUUAGCUGUCCUCUUCCUUGUAAACUCUUAAUCCAGAUGGUACUUGCAAAAGACAUUCCGACAUCCAUAUACGAUUUCGAUAUUCAAUGUUUGAUACAAUUAAUGCGUGAUGAUGAAGUACUUUUUUUAAAAAUGUGUUACUAUUUAUUUGAUUAUCACUCCGUUAGUGGACCAAAUUAAAUUUUUAGAUCAUAAUUAAAAAUGUAUUACCUGCUUUAAUCUUAUUAAUCUCCUGUCAGACUUAAUGAAGCUGAUUGUAUCGAUGAAUUAUCAAUCAUUCGAACUCAACCGGUAGAUAGAGAUUAAGAAUAAUAUAGUUUUAUUGAUUAUUCUAGGCUGCGUAGAGUAUAAUGAUUGAGUUGACGUUGUG